GCCAGACUCCUACGGGAGGCAGCAGUGGGGAAUAUUGCACAAUGGGGGAAACCCUGAUGCAGCGACGCCGCGUGGGCGAGGAAGUACCUCGGUAUGUAAAGCCCUAUCAGCAGGGAAGAAACAGGACAGUACCUGACUAAGAAGCCCCGGCUAACUACGUGCCAGCAGCCGCGGUAAUACGUAGGGGGCAAGCGUUAUCCGGAUUUACUGGGUGUAAAGGGAGCGUAGACGGCAUGGCAAGUCAGAUGUGAAAGCCCUGGGCUCAACCCCGGGACUGCAUUUGAAACUGUGUUUCUUGAGUGCUGGAGAGGCAAUCGGAAUUCCGGGUGUAGCGGUGAAAUGCGUAGAUAUACGGAGGAACACCAGUGGCGAAGGCGGAUUGCUGGACAGUAACUGACGCUGAGGCGCGAAAGCGUGGGGAGCAAACAGGAUUAGAUACCCGCGUA
rnacentral:rRNA from 1 species